CCCUUAGAUGUUCUGGGCGGCCCGCGCACUACAUUGGCACUGGCAACAAGAUCCUAGAUCUGAUAUUUCGGGGUAUUCUACCAACUGGUGUCGUGACUGGGAUUAACCCCUGCAAUUAUUGGUUAUGAACGAGGAAUUCCUUGUAAUCACGGUUUAUCAACCCGUGUUGAAUGCGUCCCUGCCCUUUGUACACACCGCCCGUCGCUCCUACCGAUGAAUCGUCCGGUGAAGUUCAUGGAGUCGCUGCUGCUCCAGCUGUUUUCGAAGUGAAAUGGACCUCAUGAUUUAGAGGAAGGAGAANUCGUAACA
rnacentral:rRNA from 1 species